rnacentral:rRNA from 1 species
UACAGAGGUCCCGAGCGUUGUUCGGAUUCAUUGGGCGUAAAGGGUGCGUAGGCGGCGGGGCAAGUCUGAUGUGAAAUCCCGGGGCUCAACCCCGGAACUGCAUUGGAUACUGCCUUGCUCGAGUACUGGAGAGGGAACUGGAAUUUACGGUGUAGCAGUGAAAUGCGUAGAGAUCGUAAGGAAGGCCAGUGGCGAAGGCGAGUUCCUGGACAGUUACUGACGCUGAGGCACGAAGGCCAGGGGGAGCAAAACGGG